GGCAGCAGCUAAGAAUAUUCCGCAAUGGACGAAAGUCUGACGGAGCGACGCCGCGUGGAUGAUGAAGGCCGGAAGGUUGUAAAAUCCUUUUAUGACUGAGGAAUAAGGAAGAUGAGAGAAACGUCUUCUGGUGACUGUAGGUCAUGAAUAAGCAACGGCUAAUUACGUGCCAGCAGCCGCGGUAACAUGUAAGUUGCGAGCGUUGUUCGGAAUUAUUGGGCGUAAAGGGCAUGUAGGCGGUUCUGCAAGUCUGGUGUGAAAUACCGGGGCUCAACCCCGGAACUGCGUUGGAAACUGCAGGACUUGAAUCGCUGAGGGGCAGCCAGAAUUCCAGGUGUAGGGGUGAAAUCUGUAGAUAUCUGGAAGAAUACCGAUGGCGAAGGCAGGCUGCCAGCAGAUGAUUGACGCUGAGGUGCGAAGGUGCGGGGAGCAAACAGGAUUAGAUACCCUGGUAGUCCGCACAGUCAACUAUGUACACUGGGUGUCCGCUCAUGAGAGUGGGUGCCGAAGCAAACGCGAUAGGUGUACCGCCUGGGGAGUAUGCCCGCAAGGGUGAAACUCACAGGAAUUGACGG
rnacentral:rRNA from 1 species